AUACUCGGGUAAUCGCUGCAUGUCCUACAUGCAGAGGAAAGUCCAUGCUCGCACAGGCUGAAAUGUCUGUAGUGUUCGUGCUUGACGAAACCAUAAGUCAAGGUAGUUCUUUUUGAACUAACGGCAGGGAAACUUCCUAAGUCUUCGGAUAAGGAAGGAAUACCUUGAAAGUGCCACAGUGACGGAGCCGUCGUAGAAAUACGCCGGGUGGAACGAGGUAAACCCCGCGAGCGAGCAACCCAAAUAUAGGUAGGGGCACUCUCUGGAAGGAAUCAAACGGAAGGAGAGGUCGUUGUAAGACGGCAGAUAGAUGAUUGCCACCGGAGUACGAGGUUGACCACCGUCUGCAGUACUAUGGAACAGAACAUGGCUUACAGAG
rfam:Halobacillus sp. BAB-2008 contig69, whole genome shotgun sequence.